AUGCCGGAUGCUCCGACAUGACGCAUGUCGUGUCGGGAAAGAUUCAUCGGUAUGGGAUGGGGUCGCGUCCUAUCAGCUUGAUGGCGGGGUAACGGCCCACCAUGGCUUCGACGGGUAGCCGGCCUGAGAGGGCGACCGGCCACAUUGGGACUGAGAUACGGCCCAGACUCCUACGGGAGGCAGCAGUGGGGAAUAUUGCACAAUGGGCGCAAGCCUGAUGCAGCGACGCCGCGUGCGGGAUGACGGCCUUCGGGUUGUAAACCGCUUUUGACUGGGAGCAAGCCCUUCGGGGUGAGUGUACCUUUCGAAUAAGCACCGGCUAACUACGUGCCAGCAGCCGCGGUAAUACGUAGGGUGCAAGCGUUAUCCGGAAUUAUUGGGCGUAAAGGGCUCGUAGGCGGUUCGUCGCGUCCGGUGUGAAAGUCCAUCGCUUAACGGUGGAUCCGCGCCGGGUACGGGCGGGCUUGAGUGCGGUAGGGGAGACUGGAAUUCCCGGUGUAACGGUGGAAUGUGUAGAUA
rnacentral:rRNA from 1 species